GGCUCAGAGUGAACGCUGGCGGCAGGCCUAACACAUGCAAGUCGAACGGCAGCACAGAGGAGCUUGCUCCUUGGGUGGCGAGUGGCGGACGGGUGAGGAAUACAUCGGAAUCUGCCUAUUUGUGGGGGAUAACGUAGGGAAACUUACGCUAAUACCGCAUACGACCUACGGGUGAAAGCCGGGGACCUUCGGGCCUGGCGCAGAUAGAUGAGCCGAUGUCGGAUUAGCUAGUUGGCGGGGUAAAGGCCCACCAAGGCGACGAUCCGUAGCUGGUCUGAGAGGAUGAUCAGCCACACUGGAACUGAGACACGGUCCAGACUCCUACGGGAGGCAGCAGUGGGGAAUAUUGGACAAUGGGCGCAAGCCUGAUCCAGCCAUGCCGCGUGGGUGAAGAAGGCCUUCGGGUUGUAAAGCCCUUUUGUUGGGAAAGAAAAGCAGUCGGUUAAUACCCGAUUGUUCUGACGGUACCCAAAGAAUAAGCACCGGCUAACUUCGUGCCAGCAGCCGCGGUAAUACGAAGGGUGCAAGCGUUACUCGGAAUUACUGGGCGUAAAGCGUGCGUAGGUGGUUUGUUAAGUCUGAUGUGAAAGCCCUGGGCUCAACCUGGGAAUUGCAUUGGAUACUGGCAGGCUAGAGUGCGGUAGAGGGUAGUGGAAUUCCCGGUGUAGCAGUGAAAUGCGUAGAGAUCGGGAGGAACAUCCGUGGCGAAGGCGACUACCUGGACCAGCACUGACACUGAGGCACGAAAGCGUGGGGGAGCAAACAGGAUUAGAUACCCUGGUAGUCCACGCCCUAAACGAUGCGAACUGGAUGUUGGGUUCAAUUAGGAACUCAGUAUCGAAGCUAACGCGUUAAGUUCGCCGCCUGGGGA
rnacentral:rRNA from 1 species